AGCGCUAUCGUCUAGAGGUAAGACAACACAUGGUAAAUCAACAUCUGUGCAAACGAUGGUUCGAUUCCAUCUGGCGCUG